CAGUGAGGUUACAGUACCAGACUACAGUGAGGUUACACUACCAGACUACAGUGAGGUUACAGUACCAGACUACAGUGAGGUUACACUACCAGACUACAGUGAGGUUACACCACUACACUACAGUGAGGUUACAACACCAGACUACAGUGAGGUUACAGUACUAGACUACAGUGAGGUUAGACCACUAGACUACAGUGAGGUUACAGUACUAGACUACAGUGAGGUUACAGUACUAGACUACAGUGACGUUACAGUACCAGACUACAGUGAGGUUACAGUACUAGACUACAGUGAGGUUACAGUACCAGACUACAGUGAGGUUACAUUCCUAGACUACAGUGAGGUUACACCACUAGACUACAGUGAGGUUACAGUAGUAGACUACAGUGAGGUUACACU
rnacentral:lncRNA from 1 species